ACGGAAGGCAGCAGUGAGGAAUAUUGGUCAAUGGGCGGAAGCCUGAACCAGCCAAGUCGCGUGAGGGAAGACGGCCCUACGGGUUGUAAACCUCUUCUGCGCGGGGGUAAAGUCGGGGACGGGUCCCCGAUUGCAAGUACCGCGCGAAAAAGGAUCGGCUAACUCCGUGCCAGCAGCCGCGGUAAUACGGAGGAUGCGAGCGUUAUCCGGAUUUAUUGGGUUUAAAGGGUGCGUAGGCGGCCCCUUAAGUCGGCGGUGAAAUUUCCGGGCUCAACCCGGUCACUGCCGUCGAAACUGGGGGGCUUGAGUGCGUUUGGGGUGGCUGGAAUGUGCGGUGUAGCGGUGAAAUGCAUAGAUAUCGCACAGAACGCCGAUCGCGGAGGCAGGUCACCAAGCCGCAACUGACGCUGAGGCACGAAAGCGCGGGGAUCGAACAGGAUUAGAUACCCUGGUA
rnacentral:rRNA from 1 species